rnacentral:lncRNA from 1 species
GGGAAUAGGGCCCUGGUCUAAAGUAGUGUCCUAUAUAUAGGGAAUAGGGCCCUGGUCUAUAUAGGGAAUAGGGCCCUGGUCUAAAGUAGUGUUCUCUAUAUAGGGAAUAGGGCUCUGGUCUAUAUAGGGAAUAGGGCCCUGGUCUAAAGUAGUGUCCUCUAUAUAGGGAAUAGGGCCCUGGUCUAUAUAGGGAAUAGGGCCCUGGUCUAAAGUAGGAAUAGGGCCCUGGUCUAAAGUAGUGUCCUAUAUAGGGAAUAGGGCCCUGGUCUAUAUAGGGAAUAGGGCCCUGGUCUAAAGUAGUGUCCUCUAUAUAGGGAAUAGGGCCCUGGUCUAUAUAGGGAAUAGGGCCCUGGUCUAUAUAGGGAAUAGGGCACUGGUCUAAAGUAUAGUGCACUAUAUAGGGAAUAGGGCCCUGGUCUAAAGUAGUGUCCUAUAUAGGGAAUAGGGCCCUGGUCUAAAGUAGUGUCCUAUAUAGGAAUAGGGCCCUGGUCUAUAUAGGGAAUAGGGCCCUGGUCUAAAGUAGUGUUCUCUAUAUAGGGAAUAGGGCCCUGGUCUAUAUAGAGAAUAGGGCCCUGGUCUAAAGUAGUGUUCUCUAUAUAGGGAAUAGGGC